GUAUAGGCGAUAGAAAUUUUUACCCUGGCACAAUAGACAUAGCACCGUAAGGGAAAGAUGAAAGAACUGUAUCAAGCACUAAAAAGCAAAGACAAGCCCUUAUACCUUCUGCAUAAUGUAUUAACUAGAAAUAACUAUACACAGAGAACUUUAGCCAAGUCCCCCGAAACCAGAUGAACUACCCAAGAACAGCUGAAAGAGCACACUCACCUAUGUGGCAAAAUAGUGGGAAGAUGCAUGAGUAGCGGUCACAAGCCUACCAAGCCUGUUGAUAGCUGGUUGUCCAAGAUAGAAUCUUAGUUCAGCUUUAAACUUACCCACAGAAUUACUUAAUCUCCCUGUAAGUUUAACUGUUAGUCUAAAGAGGGACAGCUCUUUAGACCCUAGGAAACAACCUUCCUACAGAGAGUAAAAAAUAUUACCACCAUAGUUGGCCCAAAAGCAGCCACCGAUUAAGAAAGCGUUUAAGCUCAACAGCUAACUAUCUUAAAUUCUAAUCAGUCUACUGAACUCCUAACAUCACAUUGGACUAAUCUAUUACUUAAUAGAAGCAAUAAUGUUAAUGUAAGUAACAUGAAGACAUUCUCCAUUGCAUAAGCUUACAUCAGACCAGAAUAACCCACUGACAGUUAACAGCCUAAUAUUAAUAACCAAUAUAAUAAGCACCCUAUUAUUUACACUGUUAACCCAACACAGGUAUGCUCUAAGGAGAGAUUACAAAAAGUAAAAGGAAUUCAGCAAAUCUUACCCCGCUUGUUUACCAAAAACAUCACCUCUAGCAUUACCAGUAUUAGAGUCACUGCCUGCCCAGUGACAUAUGUUCAACAGCCGCGGUAUCCUGACCGUGCAAAGGUAGCAUAAUCACUUGUUCCCUAAAUAGGGACUUGUAUGAAUGGCCAUAUGAAGGUUCAGCUGUCUCUUACUUUUAAUCAGUGAAAUUGACCUAUUCGUGAAGAGGCGGAUAUAAACAAAUAAGACGAGAAAACCCUAUGGAGCUUUAAUUCAUUAAUGCAAAUAAAAACUCAAACAAGCCUACAGGCCCUAGCCUACUAUUCCUGCAUUAAAAAAUUUGGUAGGGGUGAACUUGGAGCAUAAUUCAACCUCCAAACAACCUAAACUAAGAUCGCACUAGUCUUAGUGAGUUAAUACACAUUGACCCAAUAAUUUGAUCAACGGAAUAAGUUACCUUAGGGAUAGCAGCGCAAUCCCAUUCUAGAAUCAGUAUUGACAAUAGAGUUUACAACCUCGAUGUUGGAUCAGGACAUCCUAACAGUGUAGCCGCUAUUAAGGGUUCGUUUAGCAGUAGGGACGGGGGUUCUACAACUAAGUGAGUAACAUCCUACCUGCUAUAUACCUCUUUAAUAUGUGGGUAUAUCCUCUCAACUGUAUCUCUAGCUCCUUGGAGGAAGCAGGUUUGAUAUAAGAGAAAUGAAAAUAUGUAAAUGGAAGAUUAAGGUCUGGUUGAGGUGUAACAAUUUUUAUUCUGUUUUCAGUCCAUAUUC
rnacentral:rRNA from 2 species